rnacentral:rRNA from 1 species
CUUAACACAUGCAAGUCGAGCGGUAACAUUUCUAGCUUGCUAGAAGAUGACGAGCGGCGGACGGGUGAGUAACGCGUAGGAAUCUGCCUAGUAGUGGGGGACAACAUGUGGAAACGCAUGCUAAUACCGCAUACGCCCUACGGGGGAAAGGAGGGGAUCUUCGGACCUUUCGCUAUUAGAUGAGCCUGCGUGAGAUUAGCUAGUUGGUGGGGUAAAGGCCUACCAAGGCGACGAUCUCUAGCUGGUCUGAGAGGAUGAUCAGCCACACUGGGACUGAGACACGGCCCAGACUCCUACGGGAGGCAGCAGUGGGGAAUAUUGGACAAUGGGCGCAAGCCUGAUCCAGCCAUGCCGCGUGUGUGAAGAAGGCCUCAGGGUUGUAAAGCACUUUCAGGAGUGAGGAAGGGCGUAUAGUUAAUACCUGUAUGUUUUGACGUUAACUCCAGAAGAAGCACCGGCUAACUCUGUGCCAGCAGCCGCGGUAAUACAGAGGGUGCGAGCGUUAAUCGGAAUUACUGGGCGUAAAGCGCGCGU